GUGAACCACAGCCACCCCCUGCCUCUGCAGGAGACACUCCAACACUAGCAGCCCUGCCUGAAAUUUCAUGCAUCCUUUGAGUGGUUAUACAGGUUGGUGGCCAAGUUUCCAAGCUCUGGAGCCAGGCUGCAGAAGUUCAAAUCCUGGAUUCAUAUCUCGAUACUUCACAGCAGGUGACUGGAUUGAGGCUAUGGCAGGAGACGAGGGGAAGAUGGCAGAAGAGUAAGACAUAGAG